AACAAAAAUCACUAACUCAAGCAAAAAAAUUGUCACCUCAAAGGUAAAACUUAAAACUUGCAAACAAAACAUGUGUGUAGUUGUAAACUAUUGGUCUUUUAUUAGUUUGAUAUUAUGUCCUUUUGUUUCCAGUUCCCUCUGCUUCUUUCUCAAUGAUCAGUCUCUCCAUCACGUUUGUAGUUCUGCUCCCAGCUUUCUCGUUGGCGCUUCCAGAGUCUUUGUUUGCGAUUCUGACACAAAACUCUCGCGUGGGCGGGUCUUACAGGGGUGCGUCCUCAUUGGCUGAUGAGUGUUAAGGGAAAGUUUGAGUGACAGCUCAGCCUCCGUGCAGGUAAACUAACAUUAGAGACUCAGAGUCUGGUCUGGAGGACACUGCAAGAUUAAUAAAGUAGACCUGCAGGACCCGAGCAGAGCUACGAUGCUCUCCCAGGUAACGUUAGCUGACAUCAGGCAGCAGGCAGUCCAACCAGGAGGACGUGGUAGCAGCAGUCCAACCAGGAGGACGUGGUAGCAGCAGUCCAACCAGGAGGACGUGGUAGCAGCAGUCC